UACGUAGGUGGCAAGCGUUGUCCGGAAUUAUUGGGCGUAAAGCGCGCGCAGGCGGCCUCUUAAGUCUGAUGUGAAAGCCCCCGGCUCAACCGGGGAGGGCCAUUGGAAACUGGGAGGCUUGAGUAUAGGAGAGGAAAGUGGAAUUCCACGUGUAGCGGUGAAAUGCGUAGAGAUGUGGAGGAACACCAGUGGCGAAGGCGGCUCUUUGGCCUAUAACUGACGCUGAGGCGCGAAAGCGUGGGGAGCAAACAGG
rnacentral:rRNA from 1 species